GCAACCUGAGUGAAAGUUUGUCAACAGCCGACGUGUCGCACCCACGGUUUUUGUUACUUUAUUAAUAAAUGUGAAACAAAUAGACUAAUCUCUCGUCGUGUAUCAUUGGAAGAAGUCACAAUAGUUGUUGUCAAGCCCAACAAACGCGGUACCUGCCGGCUCGAUGGCUGUAGCGGAGGAAGCUGUUAGCAUUAGCAGCUAGCAUUACAGUCUGCAUCCAUUUUAAAUCCAUCUGUUUCUGCUGUCUGGCACAAAGGAGCACUGAGUGAAGAUGGCAUGUGCAACAUUAGCUCUCCACCUUGGUCCCGUGGCGUAAAUCACCACCGCAAAUGAGAGCUGCUGACAAAGCGCCCGCUGGAUAAUCAACAAUAAUAACGAGAGAGAGAAAGAAAAGGGAGGCUACAAGAGAACAACAGAAAAUGUGAAUCGUGCUCCAGUAUGUCACUAAAUCUGCCGUUCAAUAUUUCUGGUCACCUGACAUUAACUGAGCGGCCUGCUAUCGUUUCCUGCCUAAAUAAAUGGUCAACGGAGUGGUCCUUCCACGAUUUGGGAAAAAAAAACAAAUCAAUCAUCCUCUUACUGUAAAUUGCCAGUUGCUAUUUAAAAUUAUCUGUAAUUUUUCAUUUGAGGAUGCAACUGGUGGGAUCUUUAAGGACAAUGAAAGACGAACAUCGCGAUAUCUGUCUGUUGUCCAUUUUGCUUUUUGUUGCAAGUCCUGCAUGAUAACAACAAAGGGAGAGUCAAUCACGGUCAGUCAAAAUUACCAUAAUUUGUCAUGCAUAAAAGUUGACUUAAAAAGCUUGGAAAACAUUUGUACCCAUGUAUAAUGCAUUUUUAAAAUGCCUGAUUUUGCAUCCACCCAAAUGAUCAAAACAUGAAGUAUCAUCUGUAUUUUAUUAGUUUUUUCACAGAAUUCUUCUGACUUUAAGCCCUUUAUUUGAACACUUAAUACUUUCUUUACUUGCUGUUAUUUUGAAAUUCACCACCCUACUUUUAUUUAGUAAAUAAGAAAACACACAGUUGUGCUCAUGUUUGAUCACUCAGGCGGAAUUGGUGUGAUGGGUUCAAUUCUUUAAAAUAUGAAGGGCCCAGCCA